rnacentral:rRNA from 1 species
UACGUAGGGUGCGAGCGUUGUCCGGAAUUACUGGGCGUAAGAGCUCGUAGGUGGUUUGUCGCGUUGUUCGUGAAAUCUCACGGCUUAACUGUGAGCGUGCGGGCGAUACGGGCAGACUUGAGUACUGCAGGGGAGACUGGAAUUCCUGGUGUAGCGGUGGAAUGCGCAGAUAUCAGGAGGAACACCGAUGGCGAAGGCAGAUCUCUGGGCCGUAACUGACGCUGAGGAGCGAAAGCGUGGGGAGCGAACAGG